rnacentral:lncRNA from 1 species
GUGCGCACUGGGCCAGCGGGCGGCCGGGGCAGGGCUGGGGUCCCGGCGCUGAGCGCCCCCAGCCGCGCCGGGCAGCCUGGCGCCUCGCUGAGUCGGAGCAACCCCCGGCAGGAGCUUUCAGGCUCUGGUCAAGCCUCGGGACCCGGGAAGCUAUCCCUGCCCUCGGGGGCUCGAGCCUGGAGUGGGGCUUGCAGAAAAGGAAAGGGGGCUGGCCUAAAGGCAAGAAGAGAAACCCCCCGAGGGACCUUGCUGUUCCGUGUUCCUACGACAGGGUACAUGAUAUUCCUGAAUGAGCAGAGAAGUCAGCUGAGGGCCACACACCCCGAUCUGCCUUUCACAGAAAUCAUGAAGAUGCUGGCUGUUCAGUGGGCCCAGCUGUCUCAGGAUAAAAAGGGGGAGAUGAACUCAAUGACCUCUACUGCGGGACCUCCAGGCAGCUCUUCAGCUCCCUGUGCAACAAGAAGGAACCUGCUGCAAAGGCAGCACCUGCAGCGCCUCUCAGGGACAGAGCGAGGUACUGGGGACACAGGAAGGACGAGGCAGAGCUCCGCGCUGACGAAACCAAGGGCCAAGCGUGCGAGUGAAUACGAACAUCCUGGCGUUAAAACGUCUUGCAUUCUAGUGAAAUGAGACCCAUUGGACACAGAGAAGCCCCACCACAAUUGCAUCUGUGUAAAAUCGAGAGAAAGAUCGUGAAAACAGCCAUGGCAGGGGAAUUUAAAAAAGAUCCUGCCACGUACUCAUAGCACCUGGAGCCUCUGGAGGAAGAGGAGGGACAAAUGAGGUCAAGUCAGAGGAGGAAGCUGAGGGCCCCGAGUCCCUUCUGCUCAGAUGUCCGCAUCCAGAGAGGAGUUCUGCUUCUCUCAACCUGUGUUUCUUGCAAGAGUUUAUCUAUAAAUUGCUGAAAAAUGGGUAAUCAAGUUCAGCAACUCCCUGGCAUCUGUGAUGACCUAUGGUUUGUAAUCCUAGUCAGAAUCACCUACAUAGAGGAUAUAAUAUUAAUCAGAACAAAACAGAAAAGUCGCUAGAGGAAUAACAAUAGUAAAAUUUACAAUCAGAUGAAGAAUAAAGUUUUCAAUGAGGCACAGUUCUAAGCACUUCAUACAAAUAACCUGUCUUAAUUCUCAUAAAAGUACUGCAAGGCAGGUGAUAAUAUCAUCUCCUUCUAAAGAUAAAAUGCAGCACAGAGAGGUUAAGUAACUUGUCCAAUGUUGAACAGCUAGUGAGUGGUCAAUCUGAGAUUUAAAUCCAGGCUGUCUGGGUCCAAGAACUCUGUUCUUCACUACUUCUCAACAACAUCAACUAUGUAAAAUGACACACAUACAUAAACCCACAUCAAUGGUAAUGGUGGUAAUCUCUGGCCGGCAAGAUGAAAGAAGAUGUUAUGCAAUUCUUCAGUCCUUUCUGUGUCUGCCACAUUUUCCCCAAUGGAUAGAUGUCACUUAAAUUAUCAGAGGAAGAAACAAACUCUAUUAAAAGGAAUUUCAAGGGCCGGGCAAGAUGGAUCACACCUGUAAUCCCAGCACUUUGGGAGGCCGAGGUGGGCGGAUCACCUGAGGUCAGCAGUUCGAGACCAGCCUGGCCAACAUGGCGAAACCCUGUCUCUACUAAACAUACAAAAAAAUUAGCCGGGCGUGGUGGCACAUGCCUGUAAUCCCAACUACUUGGGAGGCUGAGGCAGGAGAAUCACUUGAAUCUGGGAGGUGGAGGUUGCAGUGAGCCAAGAUCGCACCACUGCACUCAAGCCUGGGCGACAGAGCAAGGCUUCAUCUCAAAAAAAUAAAAUAAAAUAAAAUUAUUGUUUUAUUCUGCUUAUAAAAUUAGCAUAUUCAUUGAAGCUAGGCACAGUGGCUCCUGCCUGUAAUCGCAGCCCUUUGGGAGACCAGGGCGGGUAGAUCACUUGAGGCCAGGAGUUCGAGACCAGCCUGGCCAACAUGGUGAAACCCCGUCUCUAAUGAAAAUACAAAAAUUAGCUGGGUUUGGUGGCAGGCACCUGUAAUCCCAGCUACUCAGGAGGCUGAGGCACGAGAAUCGCUUGAACCCAAGAGGCGGAUGUUGCAGUGAGCUGAGGUUGCACCACUGCACUCCAACCUGGGUGACAGAGCGAGACUCUGUCUCAAAAUAAAUAAAAUAAAAUAAACAUAUUAAUUGAAGAAAAUUUUGAAAUUUCAGAAAAGUAUAUGAAGAAAAUGUAAACACUAUCAGUAGAGAAGUGUUGUUAGCAUUUCAGUGCAGUGUUUCUAGUCUUAUUUUCUAUAAAUAUCUGAAUCUACCCGCCUAUUUCUCUAUCUCUCUACCUAAAUAUAUCUGCAUGUUAUUUGUAUAUCUGCAUAUUUAUCUUAUAUUUAUCUAAAUAAAUAUAUCUAACUAUAUCUCUAUAUAGAGAUAGAGAUAGAAAGAUGGAGAGAAAGAGAGAUAGAGAGAUGGACAUGAAGGUAAAAUCCGUCCUGCAGCUCCCAUUUGCAGAAGAGCGUGAGCAUUUUCACAUCUCCUUCAACGUUCUUUUAGGCAUCGCCCCUCCUGGCUGCAUAAUAUUUCAUCAUAUGCGUGAGCCGCACUGGCUGCCCAGUUCCUCACUGUGUCGUUGUUUGUUUGUUUGUUUGUUUUGAAACAGAGUCUCACUCUGUCGCCCAGGCUGGAGUACCGUGGCAUGAUCUUGGCUCACUGCAAACUCCGCCUCCUGAGUUCAAGUGAUUUCCGGCUAAUUUUUGUAUUUUUAGUCGGGAUGGGGUUUCACCACAUUAACCAGGCUGGUGUUGAACUUCUGACCUCAAGUGAUCCGCCCUCCUCGGCCUCCCAAAGUGCUAGGAUUACAGGCGUGAGCCACCGUGCCUGGCCAUUAUGACUGUACGUUUUGGUGACACCUGGUUCUUACGUUAGAAAUCAGGCUGCUGAACGUUCUGCUCUGUGUGUGUCUUUGUGCCCAUUCUUGUUGGCUUCCUUAGAGGGAUUUCUGGAAGUUCAAUGAUUAUGUAAAAAGCACAAGCCUUGCUGGGACCCUGGAGUGGCGUUGGAGUCUCUCGUGGUUAGGAGCCCAGGCCCUGGCCUGGCCAUCGGGGGCUGGAAUCCUGGCUGUGUCCUCCGUAGCCAUGUGCCCCAGGCAGCUUUCCUCACCGCCUGCCUGUCAUCCAGGGAUGCAGGUAGGUCCUGCUCCAUGGGGUUGUCAUGGCGAUCACAGAGACUUGUCCGUGUGGACCACCUAGAGCAGUACCUAGCAGGGCACCUGGCGCCCUGGGGUCACCUUGGAUCAGGGUUGCAGCUGACCCACUCCCAUCCCUCCCAAAGGCCCUUCAGCCCAGACUUUUGUGCACCCCAAAUUCCAUCAAAAUCCUUUUUCCUUUGAGAGUAACUUUAUUCAUUUCCCUGCAGCUUAUUAAAGAAUUCUGAAGAACAGUGGGUGUUAAAUUUUUUAAAAGAAAGAAAACAUUCCAGUAAUCCAAAGCCAUCACGCAAUAGCCCACCCGACAGAGGUCCCUGAAAAACAGCCCACAGGGGUCCUUGGGGUUUGCGUCCACGACCCUCUAAGCAAGGUGCCUCACCUGGCGGAGCUCCUGAAGACGGGAGCUCCUGAAGACAGGCGCCCCCUCCUAGGAUGCCAAAGGUCAGAGGCCGCAGUGGGAGAGGCCUGGCUGACAGCUUGUAUUCCAGUGGGCUAGAGCCUCCAGAGCCCUCACCACUGGAUUGCCCCUUCUCUUGGCUGGGCGGGACCUGAUUUCCACCUGCACAGCCCUGGUGAAGCCACGCAAAAGGAACCUGGGAAAGGCUCAGGUCCAGAAUUGGAUGGACACAAUUGUGGAACUCAGCCCUCCUCCCCGGCUGGGGGACCUCUGGACAGGUCCCUGAGCCCCUUGGAACUUCGCUUCCCCAGCCUAUAAAAUGAGGCAGGCAUGCCUCUCUGAGGGUCUGGUGAGCUCUUGAGCUCCUGCAAACGGCCCAGAGUGAAGUAAUAGGAGUUUUUGAGCUGAAUUCUCAGUCUGUUGCUCAGGCUGGAGCACAGUGGUGCAAUCGUAGGUCACUGCAACCUCCACUUCCCAGGUUCAAGUGAUUCUUCUGCCUCAGCCUCCUGAGUAGCUAAUUUUUUCUACUUUUAGUAGAGACAGGGCUUCACCAUGUUGGCCAGGCUGGUCUCAAACUCCUGGCCUCAAGUGAUCUGCCCAUCUCGACCUCCCAAAGUGCUGGGACUACAGGCAUGAGCCACUGCACCCGGCCAGAAGUCAUAGGAUUUUAACGAGUGGAGACAGUGUGGGUGGGGCCAUUAUUCCACUUCCUGGAGAGGAAGAGAGAUCCUGGCAAUGUCUAUAGAUCUCAGGUGCUCUGCAGGGCAUGAGUGUAUUUAUUUACAUAUUUAUUUACUUGCUUAUUUAUUUAUUCACCUAUUUAUUUACUUAUGUACUUAUUUACAUAUUUACUUUUGAUUUGCUGACAUAUGUAUUUACUUAUUCAUUUACUUAUAUAUGUAUUUAUGUACUUCAUUCCCUUUCUUAUUUACUCUUUCACUUGUUGCCCGUCUAUUCAUGACAUCUGAGUGUCUCUCUCCCAGUAGAGGCCAGGGCAUGCACCUCUCAUGUUCCUUUCAGAACCAGCAGUAGAGGCUGGAGGUGGAGCUGGCAGGGCUGAAGACCUAUGGGGGGGACCUGGAGGAGUUUGAGACCCUCAGCAUGGUGCUGAUGCUGUCCCACUUCAGCCCGCAAGUGAUGGACACCGGGUGAGCCGGGCCGUGGAGGGCGCUCGCUGCCCCCUCCACUCUCCCUUCUCCCCUCUCCCCUGCCUCAUGCUCCUUCCGGUCCUCACUAGGCCAUACAGCCAAGGCCCUGGGACACUCCUGUCUGUCCAUUGACUUAUUCGUACAUGCUUCACUCUUUUCUUCACUCAACAAACAUUCCUGUGUGUCAGCGCAUCCCAGCUAUGCUGUGUGCUGGAGGAUGGGGAGAUAGACAAUGACUCCGGUCAUCCCUAACCCAGCCCCAUGGGUACCAGGCCCUGAGCUGGGCACUGGGCAGAGGAAUGCAGAGAUGAAGGAGCCCCUGGUAAGGAGCCUGUCAGGGGACAGGGGCAGGGGGCUGGGGAGUCUGCCUCCAUGGACAAGGUGCCGUUGGCACUCAGGUGGGAGGCAACGAGUUAUGCAGCAGGGUGGCUCAGCGAAGGGCCAGAUAGAGGCCAGAGCCUUCCAGCGGGGCCCAUGGGGACAGUUACAAACUCCUUCAUCAAAGGGGACACCGGCACGCAGGCAGGGAAACCUGUGUGUGCAAAGGGAAGGAGAUUGGAAAUGCAGAGGAAGGGAGGGAGGGAGGAGAGCAGUAGAUGAUGCAUCCUUGUGCAGGAUCGGAGGAUACACGCUUUUUUUUUUUUUUUUUUUGACGCAGUCUCACUCUGUUGCCCAGGCUGGAGUGCAGUGGCGUGGUCUCUGCUCACUGCAAGCUCCGCCUCCUGGGUUCACGCCAUUUUCCUGCCUCAGCCUCCCGAGUAGCUGGGACUACAGGCGCCCACCACCAAGCCCGGCUAAUUUUUUUUUUGUAUUUUUAGUAGAGACAGGGUUUCACUGUGUUAGCCAGGAUGGUCUCGAUCUCCUGACCUCGUGAUCCGCCUGCCUCGGCCUCCCAAAGUGCUGAGAUUACAGGCGUGAGCCACCAUGCCCAGCCGGAUACACUCUUUUCUUUAAAGAAAAACUCAUGAAUGCCAUUUCGUCCUAAAAUAUUCAGACGCAAUCCUUUGGACAGUCAGAAACUGCGGCCAUUCCCCUUCCUCUCCCUGGAAGUUUUCGCUGUUAACAUUUUCAUGUGCAUCUUUCCUUCCAGGCAUUUUUCUAUUUAUGAAUGAAUGGGUUGAUAGUUGAAUAGUUGAAAACUGGCACUUCUCAGGACACCACCAGCAAGCAGGCUUUGUCCUUGGAGCAGGGUCCCUGGGGGUCAUGUGCUGAGCCAGGUUUCAGCACCUUAGAUGGUGGAUGGUCUGGGGGACAUUUGCCAAACAGACCUGAUGUGGCCCCACUAGUGCGUUUCUGACCAGCCGUCAGCACCAUACAAACACUAGCAGAGAAGCUCGCCUGUCAGCAGCGUGAUUCCUAUUUCUUACCCAUGGGAGGGCACUGUUCAUAUUGUUCUUGGUGUGCUGUUCUGCGCCUGACUUAGCACUCCUUCCCAUCUACAUGUAGUCCCCUUUGUUGUCACCUGUGUAUGGUGUGAUGCAGCCAACCCCAGCACCCUGUCCCCGCUGAUGGACACUGCAGUGGGGACAGCCUACGGUUACACCAGCACACGAUGGUGCAGUGACUCCUAGGGCACACCACGGCUGGACACAGGCUGGAGCACUCCUGCUCUCAAACAGUGAAGCUCCGACCCAGGCCCCUGGCAUGAGAGGGGUGGGUGGGUCCUGCUGCUGCAGAAGCUUGGAGAGACCCUUCCCCUCCAUGCCCCUCCCAUUCCCCUAACCUUGAGUGAGAGCAUUGGCCUUGGAGUGAUUUCCAUGUGAAAUUUUACACAUACAUCAUGUAGGAUUGGACAAAAGUGGUCAGGCUCGAGGGCUACUAAGGAAGAAGGAAUAGGCAGACUUGGGUCUUACCAGAUGCAGGGAGCAGGUAGGAGGCACACUCUUUAGUGUUAAUAAGCCCACCAGCCCCCAUUCUUUCUUCCUUGACACUCAGAUGCAAUUCCUGCAGUCAUGACAUUGGCUGCUUUGGGAAGCAGCUGCAGAAUGCUGUGGGCUGUUGGGCAGUGGGGGGCUGGCUAACGUCAGGUGUGUUCACAUGAGCGUCCUCACAGGGAACGUGUGAUGGAAGGUGCUGGAGCUGGUACCUGGGCAGUGUGAUGAGAAAGGAACGUGGCUUUCAGAAAGCAGAGUUACAAAUGCAUCUAGCAUCAAGUAAUGUCCAGAAAGCAGUUUUGCCAGAUUCAGCUCCUUCCUGGCUCCAGCCACUCUCUCUACUUCCUGCAGUUCCCACUCCAGUCCGCUCACUAAGUUCAUUCCUUCCAGAAGACAUCUUCUGAGCACCUACUGUAUGACAAGCCCUGGGCUUGGUGCUGGAAGUCCAGAAAUUAGAGAUGUUUUAUGACUUCACAGGGCUCUGAGUCUCAGAAGUGUGGCACAGGGGUAGUGAAUCAGGGGUACUGGUGUGGUCAAGGCAUCGGGGUGACCUUGAGUCAUGUACACCAGGGGUACUGGGGGUGCCAAGGUGGGGAGCAGAGCUUCAGCCUUCAAGACCCAGUCCCAGGGCAAAGUGAACCUCCGAGUUCUUUCCCAGGCCCAGUAGGUCUCCAGGAGGGUUUAAGAGGAGAGUGAAUGAAUUAAGAUCAAGUGAGACUGGUGCUCCCCCAGCUUUGUCCUGGCAGUAACUCUUCCUCUCCCUUCCCUACUCUGCAGCAUAAGGCCAUGUCCUGCCCCAGGACCAGCCUCCAGGACCCCUCCCAGGUGCUCAAGUGUAGCUCCCAUAGCAGCAAAGGAAGGAUGCAAAGUCUCAGGGCUUUGCAGGUGGACAGUCAGACAGCUUUGCUGACCAAGGAGAAAAUAAGUUUGUGUGUGUGUGUCUGUGUGUGUGUUCAUGAGUGUGCAUGUGUGUGCAUGCAUGUGCAUGUAUGUGUGCACGUGUGAGUCUGUGUGAGCAACCAGCUCAGUCUGUGUCUGUGUCUGGGGCUCAGCAGAGCAUCUGCUCUGUAAGUGUUCCUACUGUGGACUAUAACCUGGGCAGCAUUGAUUUGGGAAGAUUUUGGUAACAUGGCUCCAUCUUUCCACACCUGACAUCCCUUAGAGGGACAUGUACACACCCACUCUGACCAUGUGCACAGGCGCCAAGCAGCCAUGGGGACCAGAGCGCUUACGGUCUUGGCCUCUGGAGCCCUGAUUUUGAGCCCAUUGCUACCUCCUGUGGGCCACCACGGUGACUUGGGGCACAGUUGGUUUUCUCCAUUGAGGAGACAACCAACAACAUUAGGUCAAUAAUCGCUACUUGUCAGCCUUAAAUGGUGGGGUGAAGAUGGAGUAAGGCAAUCAACUUGUCCAAGUUUCGGUCCCCAAGAAACCAACCCCAAGAUCAGCAUUUGCCUGCAAGCGGGUUAUCUGGGAGGUAAUCCCAGGUAGGGGAUGUUAUAAAUAAAUUUUCAUGGCACUCGGACAUAAAUUUAAUUUUCUCAGCAAGGCAAUUUUACUUCUAUAGAAGGGUGUGAUUCGUGGAUGGAGCAAUGGCAAAAGCACACCUGAACAAGGGAGGGGAAGGGGUUUUUAUUUCUGACUCAAGCAGCCCCUCCUGCUGUGUCAUUCCCCUAUUGGCUAGUGUUGGACUGCACAGUCUAAGCUAAUUCCAACUGGCCAUUUCAAAGAGAGCAGGGGUACGAGCUGGAGUGGCGGGGUGAGUAGUUUGGCAGGAAAGAUGGUUACAGAACAGGUGACUCAGGAUGACUCAGGUCAGAGCAGGUGACCAGGGGUAACUCGGGACAGAGCUGGUGAUAGAGGCAAGGAGGGGGUUGUUUACUGAAACUAGGGGCAAGGAGACGAAAAAAACGAGGAAGUUAAACUUUAAAACGAAGAACAAAGAACAGGGGAGCUGAACAUACUGAUACAUUAGUUAUUUGGAGAGGAUCUCAGAACCCAUUGUACUCAACAAUUUACAGGCUAAAACCUUUGAAGAGGAAUUUAUUAUAUGCUAUAGGGAGUUAGGGAAGAGAAACUGGGAAGGGAAGACAGCUUUGUGAGUUAGGGGGUUAUCCUAGCCACUGGAGCUGGGAAAGCCAGAAGCCAGCGCAGCGCGUGCAUCUGAGAGUCAACACGUGAUGGCGAGGAAGCCAGGGUGUUUGUGCAGCAGCUCCCUCCAGUCUGCAGGAGGACCGCUUCCAGGAGGACUUCCGGCCUGCUGCACCAGUGGCAACCUGAGCACAGAAGGCCAGAAGAGCCCCUGGGCAGGGAGUGCGGUGCUCCCCCUGGGAGGCUGUGCCCUGGGUGCUCGGGUGUGGGGGUCGCCCGCGCUCCUGGGAGCCGAGCAAGGGCGCGCACCCCGCAGUGGGAGAGGGGCUUCCUGCGCAGCGCGGGAGGAGCUUCCAGGACGGGAGCUGUCUGGGGCAGAGCCCUGGCUACGGUGGCCUCGCAGCACAGCGAAAGCACAGGGACUGCGCAGUCGGGAGGCGCUUGCUCUCCGUGCAGACCCCCGGGUGCGCGGCCGCAGUGCCUGCAGCCAUCGCCCUACGGGGCCUCGCGACUCGGGCAUCGCCCCUGCUCUCCAGGCAGGACUAGAGCUUCCAGAAAGUCCCAGGGCACCCCUCGCGCAUCCCAGGGGCCAGGCGGGCGCUGCAAAGCCUGCUGGGAGGUGUAGUUUUCGCUGAAGACGGGGCUGCCCAGAGCCAAAGCAGGGUGGGCUCCAGAGCAAGAAGCCAUCGUGGACGCGGCGUCUGCGGGAGGAAAGCAGCUCCUUCUGGCUUCGCGAAGGCCGCCUAGUCCAGGAGCCCCAGCGCCCUUCUCCCAGCCAGGUGGAUGACAGUUCCCAGCGCCUCGAAGGCCUGCUCUGUGCCGCGCGCCCUGCACACACGAUUGCAUUUCCUGCACGCAGCCCCCCGGCGGGGCAGGUCGAGCCGUUUACGGAUGGAAGAGAGGAGCCCCACACCUUGUUGGAGGCGCCGUCAGCAAAGGUUGAAUUAUUUCUUCUGAGGAUGCAAAGAAUUGAGGUUGCUGCAGACCCAUAUGGAUUUGCCACUGCUAACCCCCAGGUGCCCAGCAGGCCGACAGAGGCUGUGGCCGCCUCUCCCACCUCUUUGAAUUGGGCUGAGAGACAGACGCGCACCUUCCGGAGAGGACCGUCAGGCUGAAGAAGACACAGCUAGUGUCUAACGGGAGGUGCAAGCUGGUACUCCUGGUUGAUGGGCCACCUUCCUCCACAUGGUGACUCAGGGAUCCAACCUGCAUCCAGCCUGUGGUAUCACUCUCCCCAGGGCCUCGGAGAGCCCACUCCUGGCUGGCAGUUGGAGGAUGACUGUGUAGAGACGGUAGAGUCUUCUUUAAACCCAUAGCGCAGAAGUGGGACUCAUCAUUUCCCAGGCUUCCCAUUGGUGAGAAGCAGUCACAUAGUCACACGCACGGUGAGGGCACUGGGAGCUGUCACCCAGGCUGGAGUGCAGUGGUGCAAUCAUAGCUCACUGUAGCCUUGAACUCCUGGGCUCCAGUGAUCCUCCAGCCUCAGUCUCUAGAGUAGCUGGGACUACAGGUGUGGGCCACCAUGCUGGCUAAUUAAUUAUUUAUGUAUUUAUAUUUUUUGUAGAGACGGUGAUAUGGUUAGGCUUUGUGUCCCCACCCAAAUCUCAUCUUGAACUGUAAUCUCCAUAAUCGUCACAUGUCGAGGGAGAGACCAGGGAGGUGAUUGGAUCAUGGGGACCGUUUCCCCCAUGCUGUUCUCGUCACGGUGAGUGAGUUCUUUGAGAUCUGAUGGUUCUAUAGGGGGCUCUUCUCCCUUCGCUCAGUGCUUCUCCUUCCUGCUGCCUUGUGAAGAAGGUGCCUUGCUUCCCCUUCACCUUCCACCGUGAUUGUAGGCCUCUCCGGCCAUGCUGAACUGUGAGUCAA